AUUGAACGCUGGCGGCAGGCUUAACACAUGCAAGUCGAGCGGGGUGAUGGUGCUUGCACUAUCACUUAGCGGCGGACGGGUGAGUAAUGCUUAGGAAUCUGCCUAUUAGUGGGGGACAACAUCUCGAAAGGGAUGCUAAUACCGCAUACGUCCUACGGGAGAAAGCAGGGGAUCACUUGUGACCUUGCGCUAAUAGAUGAGCCUAAGUCGGAUUAGCUAGUUGGUGGGGUAAAGGCCUACCAAGGCGACGAUCUGUAGCGGGUCUGAGAGUAAGAGCCGCGACCCUGGGACUGGGACACGGCCCAGACUCCUACGGGAGGCAGCAGUGGGGAAUAUUGUACAAUGGGGAGAACCCUGAUCCAGCCAUGCCGCGUGUGUGAAGAAGGCCUUAUGGUUGUAAAGCACUUUAAGCGAGGAGGAGGCUCUUUUGGUUAAUACCCAAGAUGAGUGGACGUUACUCGCAGAAUAAUCACCGGCUAACUCUGUGCCAGCAGCCGCAGUAA
rnacentral:rRNA from 1 species